rnacentral:lncRNA from 1 species
UUACAGUUAAACCCAAGCUGGCUAGCCUAUCUUUAGUUGGCAAUCAUCCAUGAAGCAGCAACAAUAUAGUAAAAGACUAAACAUUUCUAACUAUCAAGUGGUAGGUCUCCUAAAAGCUGUAGGUAUAUUUGUUUAAAAAUGCUCUUGUUGUGAUCAUUUAUGUUUUGUGCCUGCAGUAUAUUAGCUCUUGAUCAAAUUAUUCUUCCCACCAUAUGCUCUUAUUUCUAUAUGCUAAUUUAAAGUCACGCAAUGUAGUAAAAUAAAGAUAUUCCCAGGUGUAUAAUUGAUUUGAAAGAAAAACUUUAACAGUGAAAAGAAUUAAAAGUUUAAUAAACAAGUUGGGAUCUAUUAGGACAUAUAUUGGACACUUUACUAUUUACAAAAAUAGAGAUUUUUAUACAAAUAACCAGUUGAAUUUAUUGUUUAUUUUUUUAGGUAUGUCUAAUUAUUUUUAAUUAAGCGAUUAGAAAAAAGAAUAUUUAGAUUAAUUCUUCUACAAAAAAAAAUCAUUAUCUCACUUAUUUUCUGUUCCCAUGUCAUGGGACAGUUGCUUGAAGCCUUUCAUGUUUAACUAGAAGAUGUUAGGUAAUUUUUUUUAAUUUAAAUCAUGGCAAAACAACAUGUACAUGAAAACUACUAUAUUUUAUUUCAAAACAUGUAACACUAUUUUAAUGUUAGGAUGUUCUAAUAUAAAUUUGAUGCAAUGCACUUAUAACACUUUUUUACGAUCAACGGGCUUGAAAUAGCUUACUAGGUUAUUUAAUAUUAUUUUUAGGGGAAAAAAAGAUGCUUGAAAAGUGUAAAUAGAGUAAUUUAUUCCUGUGUACAAAAAUAAGGGUGAUAUUCAAAAUUACAAGAACCAUCAGGGUAUUAGCUGCUUAGUCAUACUCUGGAGGUGUGGGAGAAGGUGGUGGAGCUAAGGGUGAGGAUAAGAGUCUCUAUUUCCGUGAACCAAUUUGGAUUUAUAACCAUUCAUUUUGUUAGGAGAUUGAUGGAACAAUAUAGGAAGAGGAAGAGGCACUUGCAUAUUGUAUAUACCAUCGAUUUAGAAAAGGUUUACAGUAAAGUCCCGAGAGAGGUUAUAUGAAGAUGUUUGGAGGCUAGAAGGGGUAUGUGUGGCCUACAUUAGGGUGAUUAAAGACAUAUAUGAGGGAGCGAAGACAUGUGUGAGGAUAGUGGGAGGGUCUCGGGACCAUUUUUUGGUCAUUAUGAGGUUGCAUCAGGGGUCAGUACUCAGCUCUUUUUUUGUUUACCAUGGUCCAUGGCGAUGGAGUACUGACUUGCCAUAUCUAAAGGGAGGUGUCGUGGUGUAUGUCAUUUACAGACGAUAUUCUUUUUGAUUGACGAGACGCGAGACGGAGUUAAUGCGGUGUUAGAGGUGUGGAGACAAACCUUGGAGUUUAAAGGUUUCAAGUUGAGCAGAAUCAAGACAGAAUACUUGGAGUGUAAGUUUAGUGGUGCUAUUCAAGGAGUGGAAGGGGAAAUGAGAUUGGAUUCACAAGUCAUCCCUGCAGGGGAAGUUUUAAAUACCUUGGGUUUAUUAUACGAGGGGAUGUGGAGAUUUAUGAAGAUCUCACACAUCGUAUUGGGUCAGGAUGGAUGAAAUAAAAUGGAAACCUGCUUCUGGUAUUUUAUGUAAUAAGAAGAUACUACCAAAACUUAAAGGUAUAUUUUAUAGAGCGAUGGUCAAACCGGCUAUGUUGUGUGUGGCUGAGUGUUGGCCAGUCAAGAGCUCUGGCAUCCAGAAGAUAAAGGUAGCAUAGAUGAGGGUGUUGAGAUGGAUGUGCGGUCAUACCCCAUUAGAUAGGAUUCGGAAUGAAGCUAUUCUAGACAAGGUGGGCGUGACUCCUACUGAGGACAAGAAUCGGGAAGCAUGGCUGGUUUGGACAUAUGAGGAGGAGAAGCACAAACUCUCCGGGAAGGAGAUAUGAGAGAUUGACAUUGGAGGGCCUUAGGAGAGGUAGAAGUAGGCAGAAAAAUAGUUGGGAUAAGGUGAUUAGGCAUGCCAUGACACAACUACAGCUGACCGAAGAUAUGACCCCUGAUAUGAAGGUGUGGAGGUCAAAAAUUUGCAUAGUAGGUUAGAUAAUUUAGAUUAUUCGUACCGAUAGUGUUAAUACAUACUCUCACAUUUAGUUGGUAGUAGGCUUUAUUGAAUACCUGUCUUUUUUUUUUUUUUAACAUUUCGAUCAUCUUACUAUCUUGUUGGGUAUGUUGUUUUUACAUGAUUUUUCGGUAUUGUCAUGUCUUGUUUUCUUGUUGUUAUUAUUGUGGACCUAUACUUGCCUGAGCCGAGAGUCUAUUGGAAACAGACUCUCUACCUUCACAAAGUUAGGAAUAAGAUUUGCGUACACACUAUCCUUCUUACAUCUCACUAUACUGUUAUUGUUAUUGUAAUAGUAGUAUCUAUGAAAUUAAAUUUGCACCUCAUUACUUUAAUAUUUUCUUCUCCUCCCAUUUGUAUAAUACAUAAAUCAAAUUAAUAAAGAAAACCCAAUUAAUUAUAAAAUUGAAGGGAAAGAGUAUUGGUAUUGUUGUUUGUUUUUUUCUUUGUUUUUUCUUAAUAAAAGGUUUUAUAUUUGAGCUUUCGGAAUUAUAAAAAAAAAAAAAUCGGAUAGGAAGGUUUUAUAUUCGAGGUUUUACGCGGCAGGAAUUUGGAAGUCUUAAUCCAAAAGCGACUACCACACAUUGGGUUGGUUUUACUCAAUAGUUUAAGAUUUUCGUCUCCUCUCAUUGUAUAACUAGUUUUAGGAUACACGUUUUAUGUAUGUAUCUUAUCUUGGUAGAAUAUAUAAUUUUAAAUAAUAAUAUAAUUAUAAUUAAAUAAAAUAUUUGAGUUACUGAACAAAAAUUAAAAAACGAUAGCUCUUAAUAAUGGAUGUUGAUCCAAUUUAGCUAGUUCACUAAAUAAAGAAAUCUUAUCCAAUAAAAAUCUGGUAUGCUAUAUUCUAAUUUAUGAGAACUUUGGAAAUAUAUUAUGAAAAUUCUUAUUGUUUUGUUACCUAAUACUGAAAAUAAGUAACCGAGUUUUGGUCUGAACCUCGAGUUUUGACCAAGCGAACCGGGAUCGAUUUUUGAUUUUUUGGGAAAAAUAUCAUUUGUUGAUGCUGUUGAGUUAAUUAUGGCUAGAUACAAGCGAAUUAGAAGUGGAAUCUAAAGGGAAAAUGGUAUUUGAGGCUUGAGUUUGACCAUGAAAUCCAAUGUAAGUAUUUGGUCUAACCUUAGCUUGAGGGAAUAGGUGUUGUGUCUUAUUGGCUAUGUGUUAGUGUCGAGUACGACGUAUAGGUGAGGAAACGAGUAUCUAUACGUUGGUGUCAAAGUAUGCCCGUGAGUCUUAUACCAUGAUUGUUGUGAUUUUUAUUAUGUAUUGUUCAUGCUUAAAUAGAUUAUUGUCACCGUAGAACAAGACUUAUGAUAAAUUCCUGGUAAUUGACCAUUGUCGAGUAGUGGUUCAAGUUGAGGUUUUAUUUUGUAAAGUAACUGUUGAAACUAGAUUGGUUAUAGCUGAUUCCCUUGACGGGAUAAUAUUGUUCCUAUUAUUGACUCCCUUGCCGGGACGGUAUUUAUUUUUGUUGUUGAUUCUCUUGUCGGAAUGUUAUUAUUUUUAUUGUUUGGGUGAGAAAAAGUAUAAAGCAGUAAAGGCGAUGCCGUGCAUGAUAGUGUGAGUAGUAAGUGUUAAUGCACGAAGGGUGAUGCCGUGCUGAUAUUGUGAGUGUAAAAGUACAAAGGAUGAUGCUGUGCCACAUUAUUGAGAGUAAAAGCACAAAGGGUGAUGCCAUGCAAUGAUUAUGAUAGAGUAAAAGUACGAAGGGUGAUGCUGUACCAUAUAUGUUAAUUUCCACGGUAAGGAUGAGAAUAAAAGCACGAAGGGUAAUGUCGUGCAUUUGUUACUAUGUUAUAAUUUCCGUUGACAAGCAUGUUCCCCUAUUUUUCGUCUUUAUCUGUUAAAUUCUUGUUAUUAUUGGUUGUAUAUGAUUUAACUGCACAUAUUUAUAUGGUUGCUGUGUUCUUCCCUUGUCACUACUUCGCUGAGCUUAGGCUCGACACUUACCAGUACAUGUGGUAGGUUGUACUGAUAUUGCACUCUUUACUUUCCGUGCAGAUUUCGGUGCUAGACCUCGUGAGUAGAUCAUGGGUUGCUGCCUUCAGUUCACAGGAGACCCGGGAUAGAUCUGCCGAUAUUUGCAGUCCCCGGAGUCCCCUUCUUUAUGUUUUAGUUAUAUUGUCUCUUUUCAUUUCGAGAACAAUUAUAUUUUCUUUCUAAACAAGUACUUGUAGAAAUUCGUAGAUGUUCGUGAAAUUGUGACACCAGAUCAUUG